GACGAACGCUGGCGGCGCGCCUAACACAUGCAAGUCGAACGAGCAAGAGAGAGCUUGCUUUCUCGAGCGAGUGGCGAACGGGUGAGUAACGCGUGAGGAACCUGCCUCAAAGAGGGGGACAACAGUUGGAAACGACUGCUAAUACCGCAUAAGCCCACGGUGCCGCAUGGCACAGAGGGAAAAGGAGCAAUCCGCUUUGAGAUGGCCUCGCGUCCGAUUAGCUAGUUGGUGAGGUAACGGCCCACCAAGGCAACGAUCGGUAGCCGGACUGAGAGGUUGAACGGCCACAUUGGGACUGAGACACGGCCCAGACUCCUACGGGAGGCAGCAGUGGGGAAUAUUGCACAAUGGGGGAAACCCUGAUGCAGCGACGCCGCGUGGAGGAAGAAGGUCUUCGGAUUGUAAACUCCUGUUGUUGGGGAAGAUAAUGACGGUACCCAACAAGGAAGUGACGGCUAACUACGUGCCAGCAGCCGCGGUAAAACGUAGGUCACAAGCGUUGUCCGGAAUUACUGGGUGUAAAGGGAGCGCAGGCGGGAAGACAAGUUGGAAGUGAAAUCUAUGGGCUCAACCCAUAAACUGCUUUCAAAACUGUUUUUCUUGAGUAGUGCAGAGGUAGGCGGAAUUCCCGGUGUAGCGGUGGAAUGCGUAGAUAUCGGGAGGAACACCAGUGGCGAAGGCGGCCUACUGGGCACCAACUGACGCUGAGGCUCGAAAGUGUGGGUAGCAAACAAGAUUAGAUACCCUGGUAGUCCACACCGUAAACGAUGAUUACUAGGUGUUGGAGGAUUGACCCCUUCAGUGCCGCAGUUAACACAAUAAGUAAUCCACCUGGGGAGUACGACCGCAAGGUUGAAACUCAAAGGAAUUGACGGGGGCCCGCACAAGCAGUGGAGUAUGUGGUUUAAUUCGACGCAACGCGAAGAACCUUACCAAGUCUUGACAUCCCUUGACAGGCAUAGAAAUAUGUUUUCUCUUCGGAGCAAGGAGACAGGUGGUGCAUGGUUGUCGUCAGCUCGUGUCGUGAGAUGUUGGGUUAAGUCCCGCAACGAGCGCAACCCUUAUGGUCAGUUACUACGCAAGAGGACUCUGGCCAGACUGCCGUUGACAAAACGGAGGAAGGUGGGGAGGACGUCAAAUCAUCAUGCCCUUUAUGACUUGGGCUACACACGUACUACAAUGGCGUUAAACAAAGAGAAGCAAGACCGCGAGGUGGAGCAAAACUCAGAAACAACGUCCCAGUUCGGACUGCAGGCUGCAACUCGCCUGCACGAAGUCGGAAUUGCUAGUAAUCGUGGAUCAGCAUGCCACGGUGAAUACGUUCCCGGGCCUUGUAC
rnacentral:rRNA from 1 species